AUACCUGCCUGUUCUACUUUGGCUUGCAAAUAGAAACUCUGAUAGAGCAAGCACAAUAUGAUCUAAAUUUACUCCACAGAUGGCUUCUUUGUAACCUAUUAACGAUUAAUGAGUCUAAAACUAAUCAUGAUCCCUUAGUAAUAAAUGGUGUAACAUUACAAACAGUAGAACAGGAGAAAUACCUUGGCCUUAUUCUGGACAAUAAGCUAUCCUGGAUACCACAUAUCGACUCCCUACGUUCCAAAAUUACAUCACUGACGGGUGCAUUGCGAAAGAUUGUUCGCUGUCUGCCAAAAAGGGUUCGUUACACCAUUUAUAACUCACUCAUUAAGCCUAAUCUAGAAUACCUGAUAGAAAUAUGGGGAUCGGCCUCCAAAACUAACCUAAAACCCUUACAAAUUUCGCAAAAUAAAAUAAUAAAAGUAUUAUUUAAUUAUAAGCGCCUUACACCUACUAGCACUCUAUAUAAGGAGACGAAAAUACUAAAUAUUUCCCAAACUUAUGUAUACAACACGUGCAUCCUUGUAAGAAAAAUCAUAAAUAAAGAUAUACAUAGCCAUAUAACGUUCACUAAAAGAUCAGAGGUACAAAAAAGAUUGACGCGACAAGCUAAUAACAUACUCCUUCGUCCACCCAGAACACUAUACGGGAAAAAGAAUAUAAUAUACGAAGGAGCUCAACUAUACAACAAACUACCAAAGGAUGUCAAAGAUGCCAAGUCAAUGACGGUCUUCAAAAGAGCACUAAAACAACACGUAUUAAAUAAUAAAUCUAGGUAGGCCGUCUGCUUAUACGCCAAGUACUUAU